UACCAGCCGGGGAGGCAGCGGUUCCCUGAACCUGAAAUCCGCUAUAGCAGGGGUGGAUCCCCGUCUUGAGGGGCUCUUCGGUAUAGUCUGCGGCGAGGGUGACUGUGUUGAGAAGCGGGUCUUACGCGAUCGGCAGCCGUGAACCAUGUCAGGUGGGGAACCAAGCAGCAUUAAGCGGUGUCGCCGUUGUGCCGUAAGUGAGCCUGUUUUGAGCAGAGCCUUCG
rnacentral:SRP_RNA from 1 species